CAUUCCCGCUGCUGCCUUGUGAAGAAGGUACCUGCUUCUGCUUUGCCGUCCGCCUUGACUAGCAACCCUCUAAAAGUCUUAUCCAAACUCUUCAUGCAGCAUGAAGUCCAAGAUGUCUGCGUAGUACCUGGAAGUCAGCAUCCCAUUUUUUGACCAUCUUCAAUUCUAGCUGACUCACAAGACACUUUACAAAGGU